CUCACGAAGACCACGCUGAAGAAAGAGGCAACGUCGUCCUCGUCUGACGAAGAAGCCGUCAUGGAAACUGUUGAAGAAAGGGUAGUGGAUGAGAGCGGUGAAGAAGAGGAAGCGGAUGAGAAUGUUGAAGAAGGGGAAGCGGCUGAAGACGAUCUAGAUAAGGACGAUAAAGAAAUCGCUGGAGAAGAAAACGAAGGCCUCGGUGAUGGUCCAUUGUUGCCCGCUGAACAAGGUAAAAGCAAAGCCUCUUCUUCUCUUGGAUCUGGAUUUUUUUUUUGAGGCCAUGGAACUGAAAAAUCGCUCGCUGCUUUGAUCAUGAUAUCAUCAAAGUAGAAUCAUACUUAUUGGAGACUGCAUGAUCAACUACCUAUUGUAAAAUCAAGCAACCAACUAAAAAAUACUAUGCACAAACGUCGCUCCUACCUACACAUACUUAA